AAAUAUGCAAGCGGCCUUUGGAAAACCUACAGGCAGGUGACAGUAUUUGGAUUUAUAGACAGACAAUACACUGUGAACCUUGCUACUCUAAAGUAAUGGCAAAGUGGAUUCAAUAAUUCUGGCACAUGGAAAUCAAGAGAAAAGUGUUCAUUAGGAAGUUAAAUUUUAUUUUAAGAAUAUGUCAUCUAAAAAAGCUUUUACACUGAAGAUUGACCCUUGUAUACAACUAACAAUUCUGCUAUUGCAUAAAUAGUCUAAUUGCCUUCAAUAAGGUCAUAUACAUAAAGGAAGCCAUCUGGUAUCUGGCUAGAUUUAGCCAUGAAAAAUUCAAGUGGUUCCAGUUACCAAUGUCGAAGGGAUGAUGCUUCUGAUGGCAGUGAGCUGUGUCAACCCUAACUAGGUCCAUCUCUGCUCCAUAAGUGGGCUGCACAUCGUGGUUGCCGUUAUAGACAAGUUUCCUUUUCUCCCAUCUUUGUUUCCCUAAGGAUUUGUAUUUACAGAUACUAUUGACAUCCUGACAAACUGUCAAAAAAGCAAGAUAUAUUUCUUUUAUGCUCAAAAGAAAUGUUGAUAGAAAUUUUUUUAUGAAGUUUGGCAGAAAGAUGUUUCAUAUAAAGUUGUAUGAACCUCAGAGGAUCACUUGACCCUUCCAUACAAAAUGAUUGGUCCCCAAUCUGCUCCCCAGAUUUUCUGAUUCUAAAGCAAGUGUUGUUUUCUCUUUAAAAGCAUAUUUGAAUAUGUGUUUGUUAAGCAUAUUGAACUAAAUAGUACAUCUAACCAAUUUAAUGUUAUCCUUCAGUUUGCCACAGAUAUAAUUUUUAUAGAAUGUUUUAAAAACAGAAACAUGGAUUUAUGAGUAAUGGGUAAAAUUAUACAUGAUGUGUAUAGUUUACAUAUUAUAAGUUGUUAGAUUUUCUUUGCAUGCAUUUCAAAAUCCAAGUAUAUGAAUAAUCUCUGAGAAAUAAUGGUUGUGGAUUACAAAGACAUGUUCUUUUGCUUGUCGCAUCUACUCAUAUUACAUAGCACUUUACAGUUGCAGACAGCUUAUAAAUAAAAAUAAAAUGAACUACCAGUUACACAGAA